rnacentral:rRNA from 1 species
AGGGCACCACCAGGAGUGGAGCCUGCGGCUUAAUUUGACUCAACACGGGAAAACUCACCCGGCCCGGACACUGGAAGGAUUGACAGAUUGAGAGCUCUUUCUUGAUUCAGUGGGUGGUGGUGCAUGGCCGUUCUUAGUUGGUGGAGUGAUUUGUCUGGUUAAUUCCGAUAACGAACGAGACUCUAGCCUAUUAAAUAGAUCGUUGGCUUACAAACGCCGGCGAGACUUCUUAGAGGGACAGGCGGCGAUUCAGCCGCACGAAACAGAGCAAUAACAGGUCUGUGAUGCCCUUAGAUGUCCGGGGCCGCACGCGCGCUACACUGAAGUGAUCAGCGUGCAUUUUGAAACCUACUCUGUCAAGAGUGGGGAACCCAAUGAACCUUCUUCGUGAUUGGGAUAGGGGAUUGUAAUUAUUCCCCUUGAGCGAGGAAUUCCCAGUAAGCGCGAAUCAUAAGUUUGCGCUGAUUACGUCCCUGCCCUUUGUACACACCGCCCGUCGCUACUACCGAUUGAAUGUUU